UACGGAGGGUGCAAGCGUUAUCCGGAUUCACUGGGUUUAAAGGGUGCGUAGGUGGGCAGUUAAGUCAGUGGUGAAAUCUCCGAGCUUAACUCGGAAACUGCCAUUGAUACUAUCUGUCUUGAAUAUCGUGGAGGUAAGCGGAAUAUGUCAUGUAGCGGUGAAAUGCUUAGAUAUGACAUAGAACACCAAUUGCGAAGGCAGCUUACUACCCGAAUAUUGACACUGAGGCACGAAAAGCGUGGGGGAUCAAAACAGG
rnacentral:rRNA from 1 species